GGGAAUGUGGCUUAGUUGUAGAGUGCUUGCUUACCAUGCAAGAGGCCCUAGGUUCGAUUCCUCAGUAACA
rnacentral:tRNA from 1 species